GUGAUCACUUUGGCAACACACAGACUAGAACUGGAGCAAUGCAGAGAUUAGCCUGGCCUCUGUGCAAGAAUGACAUGGAAAUUCAUGAACCAUUCCGUCAUUUU